rnacentral:rRNA from 1 species
GAUGAACGCUGGCGGCGUGCCUAAUACAUGCAAGUCGAGCGAACGGACGAGACGCUUGCUUCUCUGAUGUUAGCGGCGGACGAGUGAGUAACACGUGGAUAACCUACCUAUCAGACUUGGAUAACUUCGGGAAACCGGAGCUAAUACCGGUUAAUAUUUUGACCCGCAUGGUUCAAGAGUGAAAGACGGUCUUGCUGUCACUUAUAGAUGGAUCCGCGCUGCAUUAUCUAGUUGGUAGGGUACGGGUUACCAAGGGAACGAUGCAUAGCCGACCUGAGAGGGGGAUCGGCCACACUGGAACUGAGACACGGUACAGACUCCUACGGGAGGCAGCAGUAGGGAAGCUUCCGCAAUGGGCGAAAGCCUGAAGGAGCAACGCAGCGUGAGUGAUGAAGGUCUGCGGAUCGUAAAACUCUGUUAUUAGGGAAGAACAUAUGUGUAAGUAACUGUGCAAAUCUUGACGGUACCUAAUCAGAAAGCCACGGCUAACUACGUG